rnacentral:piRNA from 1 species
GAGGUGUCCAGGAUGCUGGAGCUUGGUGU